rnacentral:rRNA from 1 species
UACGGAGGGUGCGAGCGUUGUCCGGAAUUAUUGGGCGUAAAGGGUGCGUAGGUGGCCUGACAAGUUAUCAGUGGCAAAUCGAGGCUCAACCUCGUGGAAACUGGUAAUACUGUUCGGCUUGAGUACAGGAGAGGUUAACGGAACUCUAUGUGGAGCGGUAAAAUGCACAGAUAUAUAGAAGAACAUCAAUAAAGGCGAAGGCAGUUAACUAUUCUGUUACUGACGCUGAGGCACGAAAGCGUGGGGAGCAAAACGG